rnacentral:rRNA from 1 species
AUCGAACGCUGGCGGCAGGCCUAACACAUGCAAGUCGAACGAGUGGCGGACGGGUGAGUAAUGUCUGGGAAACUGCCUGAUGGAGGGGGAUAACUACUGGAAACGGUAGCUAAUACCGCAUACCAUCGGAUUUGCCCAGAUGGGAUUCGCUCGUAGGUGGGGUAACGGCUCACCUAGGCGACGAUCCCCAGCUGGUCUGCGAGGAUGACAAGCCACACGGGAACUGAGCGCAGGUCCAGACUCCUACGGGAGGCAGCAGUGGGGAAUAUUGCACAAUGGGCGCAAGCCUGAUGCAGCCAUGCCGCUUGUGUGAAUAAGGCCUUCGGGUUGUAAAGCACUUUCAGCGGGGAGGCGUUACCCGCAGAAGAAGCACCGGCUAACUCCGUGCCAGCAGCCGCGGUAAUUC